rnacentral:rRNA from 1 species
AUGAACGCUGGCGGAGUGCCUAAUACAUGCAAGUCGAGCGGCAGCACGAGUAGUUUACUACUUGGUGGCGAGCGGCGGACGGCUGAGUAACGCGUGGGAACAUGCCCCAAAGUGAGGAAUAAGCAUCGGAAACGGUGUCUAAUGCCGCAUAUGAUCUUCGGAUUAAAGGAUUUAUCCGCUUUGGGAGUGGCCUGCGUACGAUUAGAUAGUUGGUGAGGAAAGGCUCACCAAGUCUACGAUCGUUAACUGGUUUGAGAGGAUGAUCAGUCAGACUGGAACUGAGACACGGUCCAGACUCCUACGGGAGCAGCAGUAAGGAAUCUUCCACAAUGGACGAAAGUCUGAUGGAGCAACUCCGCGUGCAGGAUGAAGGCCUUCGGGUCGU